rnacentral:rRNA from 1 species
AGAGCUCAAAUUUGUAAUCUGGCGGUCUUCGGCCGUCCGAGUUGUAAUCUGGAGAAGCGUUUUCCGUCCCGGACCGUGUACAAGUCCCUUGGAACAGGGCGUCGUAGAGGGUGAGAAUCCCGUCUUUGACACGGACUGCCGGUGCUUUGUGAUGCGCUCUCGAAGAGUCGAGUUGUUUGGGAAUGCAGCUCAAAACGGGUGGUAAAUUCCAUCUAAAGCUAAAUAUUGGCGAAAGACCGAUAGCGAA